UACACGGGCCAUGUCCAAGGCUUUAGAACCUAUCGCUGUCUAGAACCCAACAGAACCAACAGAAUGAUUUAGAUACCCAGAUCUAGAACCACAUACCCCUCUACACGGGCCAUGUCCAAGGCUGUAGAACCUAUCGCUGCCUAGAACCCAACAGAACCAACAGAAUGAUUUAGAUACCCAGAUCUAGAACCACAUACCCCCCUACACAGGCCAUGUCCAGGGCUGUAGAACCUAAUAGCAGACUGGAGUAAAUAGAACCCAAUAAAACCUUUUAGAAACCAGAUAAUCAGAACCUUGGAAAGCUCGGUCUUAAUGUUUAGUUUAGUUGUAUUUAUUUUAGUUUAAAAAGGUUAACAGACAUAGAAAAAUACAGUGAUAGUAAACAACAACAACAACACAGAGAGACAACAGGUGUAGAAUAACAGAUGAAUAGUUACUGACAGGCCCUUCCCAACAACACAGAGAGACAACAGGUGUAGUAGAAUAACAGAUGAAUAGUUACUGACAGGCCCUUCCCAACAACACAGAGAGACAACAGGUGUAGAAUAACAGAUGAAUAGUUACUGACAGGCCCUUCCCAACAACACAGAGAGACAACAGGUGUAGAAUAACAGAUGAAUAGUUACUGACAGGCCCUUCCCAACAACACAGAGAGACAACAGGUGUAGAAUAACAGAUGAAUAGUUACUGACAGGCCCUUCCCAACAACACAGAGAGACAACAGGUGUAGAAUAACAGAUGAAUAGUUACUGACAGGCCCUUCCCAACAACACAGAGAGACAACAGGUGUAGAAUAACAGAUGAAUAGUUACUGACAGGCCCUUCCCAACAACACAGAGAGACAACAGGUGUAGAAUAACAGAUGAAUAGUUACUGACAGGCCCUUCCCAACAACACAGAGAGACAACAGGUGUAGAAUAACAGAUGAAUAGUUACUGACAGGCCCUUCCCAACAACACAGAGAGACAACAGGUGUAGAAUAACAGAUGAAUAGUUACUGACAGGCCCUUCCCAACAACACAGAGAGACAACAGGUGUAGAAUAACAGAUGAAUAGUUACUGACAGGCCCUUCCCAACAACACAGAGAGACAACAGGUGUAGAAUAACAGAUGAAUAGUUACUGACAGGCCCUUCCCAACAACACAGAGAGACAACAGGUGUAGAAUAACAGAUGAAUAGUUACUGACAGGCCCUUCCCAACAACACAGAGAGACAACAGGUGUAGAAUAACAGAUGAAUAGUUACUGACAGGCCCUUCCCAACAACACAGAGAGACAACAGGUGUAGAAUAACAGAUGAAUAGUUACUGACAGGCCCUUCCCAACAACACAGAGAGACAACAGGUGUAGAAUAACAGAUGAAUAGUUACUGACAGGCCCUUCCCAACAACACAGAGAGACAACAGGUGUAGAAUAACAGAUGAAUAGUUACUGACAGGCCCUUCCCAACAACACAGAGAGACAACAGGUGUAGAAUAACAGAUGAAUAGUUACUGCCAAACUGAGCAAUCAGGGGAGAAGGUCCUUGGUCAGGUAGGUGACCAAGAACCUGAUGCUUACUCUGACAGAACUCCAGAGUUUCUGUGAACAUGGGUGUCCUUCUGGAAGGUUCUCCCAUCUCUGCAGCACUCUACCAAUCAGGCUUUUAUGGUAGAGUGACCAGAAGGAAGCAACUCCUCAGUAGAAAGCAUAUGACAGCCGCUUGGAGUUUGCCAAAAGGCUAUUAAAGGUCUCAGACCAUGAGAAACAAGAUUCUCUGGUCUGAUGAAAUCAAGAUUGAACUCUUUGGCCUGAAUGCCAUGCAUCACGAGUCAAUCACCACCUUCCGGAGACACCUGAAACCCCACCUCUUUAAGGAAUACCUAGGAUAGGAUAAAGUAAUCCUUCUCACCCCCCCCCCCCUUAAAAGAUUUAGAUGCACUAUUGUAAAGUGGCUGUUCCACUGGAUGUCAUAAGGUGAAUGCACCAAUUUGUAAGUCGCUCUGGAUAAGAGCGUCUGCUAAAUGACUUAAAUGUAAAUGUAAAAUGUAAAUCACGUCAGGAGGAAACCUGGCACCAUCCCUAAAGUGAAGCAUGGUGGUGGCAGCAUCAUGCAGUGGCGACGUUUUUCAGAGACAGGGACUGGGAGGCUAGUCAGGAUCAAGGGAAAGUUGAAUGGAGCAAAGUACAGAGAGAUCCUUGAUGAAAACCUGCUCCAGAGCGCUCAGGACCUCAGACUGGGGUGAAGGUUCACCUUCCGACAGGACAACACCCCUAAGCACACAGCCAAGACAACGCAGGAGUGGCCCGGCCAGAGCCCAGAUUAGAACCCAAUUUGAACAUCUCUUCAGAGACCUGUAAAUAGCUGUGCAGCGACGCUCCCCAUCCAACCUGACAGAGCUUGAGAGGAUCUGCAGAGAAGAAUGGGAGAAACUCCCUAAAUACAGGUGUGCCAAGCAUCUAGUGUCAUACUCAAGAAGACUCGAGGCUGUAAUCGCUGCCAAAGGUGCUUCAACAAAGAGUCCAAAUACUUAUGUAAAGGAAAUAUUUCAUUUUUAUUUUUAAAAAUGUGUUAUCAAAUUAUGGGGUUUUGUGUGUAAAUUGAAAAACUAUUUAAUCCAUUUUAGAAUAAGGCUGUAAAGUAACAAAAUGUGGAAAAGGUCAAAGGGUCUGAAUACUUUCCAGAAGCCCUGUAGGUGUCUAUACAAAAUUAUGUGGACGUCACUUCAAAUUAGUGGAUUUGUCUAGUUCAGCCGUUGCUGACAGGGGUAUAAUAUCUAUCACACAGCCAUGCAAUCUCCAUAGACACAACGUGUUAGUAGAAUGGCCUUACUGAAGAGUCUCAGUGACUUUCAGCGUGACAAGUUGACAAGCUGCCAUCUUUCCAACAAGUCAGUUUCUGCCCUGCUAGAGCAUCUACACCCCAACACAGUGGGUAAAUACACACUACUAACACUACGGGUCAACCGUAAGGUCUGUUAUUGUGAAGUGGAAACGUCUAAGAGUUAUAAUGGCUCAACCGCAAGCGUAAAGAACGGGACCGCCGAACACUGAGGCGCAUCGUACUCGGUUGCAACACGACUGAGUCCCAAACUGCCUCGGGAAGCAAAGUCAGCACAAUAACUGUUUGCUGGGGUUUCCACGGCUGAGCUGACGCACACAAGCCUAAGAUCACCAUACGCAAUGCUAAGCGUUGGCUGGAGUGGUGUGAAGCUCACCACCAUUGGACUCUGGAGCAGUGGAAAUGUGUUCUCUGUAGUGAUGAAUCACACUUCACCAUCUGGCAGUCCCAUGUGUAACAGUAUAACUUUAGACCGUCCCCUCGCACAUAGCGGGGCGCGAACCAGGGACCCUCUGCACACAUCAACAACAGUCACCCACGAAGCAUCGUUACCCAUCGCUCCACAAGAGCCGCGGCCCUUGCAGAGCAAGGGGAACCACUACUUCAAGGUCUCAGAGCGAGUGACGUCACCGAUUGAAACGCUAUUUAGCACCACACCACCGCUACCGAAGCUGGCCGUUUCACAUCCGUUACACAUGGAUGAAUCUGGGUUUGGCGGAUGCCAGGAGAACGCUACCUGCCCGAAUGUAUAGUGCCAACUGUAGAAUUUAGUGGAAUAAUGGUCUGGGGCUGUUUUUCAUGGUUCGGGUCCCUCACUGGAGUGAAGGGAAAUCUUAAUACCACAGCACACAAUGACAUUCUAGAUGAUUCUGUGCUUUCAACUAUGAUGCUACAGUUUGGAGAAGGCCCUUUCCUGUUUCAGCAUGACAAUGCCACUAUGCAGAAAGAGAAAUGGUUUGUCGAGAUCGGUGUGAAAGAACUUGGCUGGCCUGCACAGAGCACUGACCUCAACCCCAUCGAACACCUUUGGGAUGAAUUGAAACUCCGACUGCAGGCCUAAUAGCACAACAUCAUUGCCCCGACCUCACUAAUGCUCUUUCCAACAUCUAAUGGAAAGCCUUUGUAGAAGGGUGGACUCUGUUAAAACAGCAAGG